rnacentral:rRNA from 1 species
GUGGAGUGCGCAUGCCUAUACAUGCAGUCGAACGAGCUUCCGUUGAAUGACGUGCUUGCACUGAUUUCAACAAUGAAGCGAGUGGCGAACUGGUGAGUAACACGUGGGAAAUCUGCCCAGAAGCAGGGGAUAACACUUGGAAACAGGUGCUAAUACCGUAUAACAACAAAAUCCGCAUGGAUUUUGUUUGAAAGGUGGCUUCGGCUAUCACUUCUGGAUGAUCCCGCGGCGUAUUAGUUAGUUGGUGAGGUAAAGGCCCACCAAGACGAUGAUACGUAGCCGACCUGAGAGGGUAAUCGGCCACAUUGGGACUGAGACACGGCCCAAACUCCUACGGGAGGCAGCAGUAGGGAAUCUUCCACAAUGGACGAAAGUCUGAUGGAGCAAUGCCGCGUGAGUGAAGAAGGGUUUCGGCUCGUAAAACUCUGUUGUUAAAGAAGAACACCUUUGAGAGUAACUGUUCAAGGGUUGACGGUAUUUAACCAGAAAGCCACGGCUAACUACGUGCCAGCAGCCGCGGUAAUACGUAGGUGGCAAGCGUUGUCCGGAUUUAUUGGGCGUAAAGCGAGCGCAGGCGGUUUUUUAAGUCUGAUGUGAAAGCCUUCGGCUUAACCGGAGAAGUGCAUCGGAAACUGGGAGACUUGAGUGCAGAAGAGGACAGUGGAACUCCAUGUGUAGCGGUGGAAUGCGUAGAUAUAUGGAAGAACACCAGUGGCGAAGGCGGCUGUCUAGUCUGUAACUGACGCUGAGGCUCGAAAGCAUGGGUAGCGAACAGGAUUAGAUACCCUGGUAGUCCAUGCCGUAAACGAUGAGUGCUAAGUGUUGGAGGGUUUCCGCCCUUCAGUGCUGCAGCUAACGCAUUAAGCACUCCGCCUGGGGAGUACGACCGCAAGGUUGAAACUCAAAGGAAUUGACGGGGGCCCGCACAAGCGGUGGAGCAUGUGGUUUAAUUCGAAGCUACGCGAAGAACCUUACCAGGUCUUGACAUCUUCUGCCAAUCUUAGAGAUAAGACGUUCCCUUUCGGGGACAGAAUGACAGUGUGCAUGAUGUCGUCAGCUCGUGUCGUGAGAUGUGGUUAAGUCCCGCAACGAGCGCAACCCUUAUUUAUCAGUUGCCCAGCAUUCAGG